CACGUAGGGCGCAAGCGUUGUCCGGAAUUAUUGGGCGUAAAGAGCUCGUAGGCGGUCUGUUGCGUCCGCUGUGAAAACUCGGGGCUUAACCCCGAGCCUGCAGUGGAUACGGGCAGACUAGAGUGCUGUAGGGGAGACUGGAAUUCCUGGUGUAGCGGUGAAAUGCGCAGAUAUCAGGAGGAACACCGGUGGCGAAGGCGGGUCUCUGGGCAGUAACUGACGCUGAGGAGCGAAAGCGUGGGGAGCGAACAGG
rnacentral:rRNA from 1 species